rnacentral:rRNA from 1 species
UACGUAGGGGGCAAGCGUUGUUCGGAAUUACUGGGCGUAAAGGGCUCGUAGGCGGCCAACUAAGUCAGACGUGAAAUCCCUCGGCUUAACCGGGGAACUGCGUCUGAUACUGGAUGGCUUGAGUUUGGGAGAGGGAUGCGGAAUUCCAGGUGUAGCGGUGAAAUGCGUAGAUAUCGUAAGGAAGACCAGUGGCGAAGGCGGGUCUCUGGACAGUUCCUGACGCUGAGGCACGAAGGUCAGGGGAGCAAACGGG